CCUACGGGUGGCAGCAGUGAGGAAUAUUGGUCAAUGGGCGCGAGCCUGAACCAGCCAAGUCGCGUGAGGGAAGACGGCCCUACGGGUUGUAAACUCCUUUUGCCGGGGAGCAACGGGCGCCACGUGUGGCGCCACUGAGAGUACCCGGAGAAAAAGCAUCGGCUAACUCCGUGCCAGCAGCCGCGGUAAUACGGAGGAUGCGAGCGUUAUCCGGAUUUAUCGGGGUUAAAGGGUGCGUGUGCGGAGCGUUAAGUCAGUGGUCAAAUUGAGGGGGUAAACCCCUUCCCGCCGUUGAAACUGGCGCUCUUGAGUGGAAGAGAAGUAUGCGGAAUGCGUGGUGUAGCGGUGAAAUGCAUAGAUAUCACGCAGAACCCCGAUUGCGAAGGCAGCAUGCCGGCUUCCGACUGACGCUGAAGCACGAAAGCGUGGGGAUCGAACAGGAUUAGAUACCCUGGUAGUC
rnacentral:rRNA from 1 species